GGGGCGCUACGGCGGCCGCACGGGGCCGAGCCGGGCGGCGGCCUCCAGAGGCGCCGCGGCCUGCAUGGCGGCCGCGCUGGGGCCCGGCGGUUUCGGUGGCGCGGGGCAUUACUGUGCAGCUGAAUUCCCAUCAGCGUCACUCAUGGACAACCGGAGCCCUACACUUGUCCCCCAAGGGCCAGGAUAUGCACACAAGAUGACAAGGCCUGGAAGAAAAGAAAGUUUGAAAACCCAAAAAAGCCCAAAACACCUCAUUUCUGUCAAUUGAGUCCCUUGAGAUGAGGAAUCAAAAUUAAUUUCUGCUCUACAUGCUUUCUGUGUUUGGAACACAGAGAGCUAAACCAGGAAGCUCUCCUUAAAUUUGUAAGGCCUCGGGCAGAAAAGAGGCUGGACACAGCCGCUGCAGACAGAGCUAUCGCAGGGCAUGAAGUGAAAUGCCUUCAUAUUGCUUCUACAGUGAAUACAUGUAAGAGAUAGAGAACACAGCAUUGCUGCCAAUUCCCGUCUCUAAUUUGAGAGUUCAGUCACUGACUUCAAGUAACAAUGUACCCACCCCCUCCCCAAAAAUGUUUAAACAGAGCUGUUUUGUGAUGCAGCAGGUCCCUUACCAGCUGCUGUGGGAAUUUUCACGGUAAACGCAGCAUGCACAACCACCCUGUUAAUGUCUGUCCGCUUCAGGGAGGGGAAAGGGGAAGGUGUUUUCAAGGCUGUAUGCAAAAUAACAUAAUUGAAUAAAGACAAAUUCUCAUCC